GUGGGGAAUAUUGGGCAAUGGGGGCAACCCUGACCCAGCGACGCCGCGUGAGGGAAGAAGGCCUUAGGGUCGUAAACCUCUGUUGUGUGGGAAGAAGGAAGUGACGGUACCACACGAGGAAGUCCCGGCUAACUACGUGCCAGCAGCCGCGGUAAUACGUAGGGGACGAGCGUUGUCCGGAAUUACUGGGCGUAAAGGGCGCGUAGGCGGUCAUUUAAGUCAGCUGUGAAAUGGUCCGGCUCAACCGGAUCAUGCGGUUGAAACUGGAUGACUGGAGUGCUGGGGAGGCAAGUGGAGUUCCCAGUGUAGCGGUGAAAUGCGUAGAUAUUGGGAAGAACACCGGUGGCGAAGGCGACUUGCUGGCCAGCAACUGACGCUGAGGCGCGAAAGCCAGGGGAGCAAACGGGAUUAGAUACCCUGGUAGUCC
rnacentral:rRNA from 1 species